AUUGAACGCUGGCGGCAUGCUUUACACAUGCAAGUCGAACGGUAACAGGCCGCAAGGUGCUGACGAGUGGCGAACGGGUGAGUAAUGCAUCGGAACGUGCCCAGUCGUGGGGGAUAACGCAGCGAAAGCUGCGCUAAUACCGCAUACGAUCUAUGGAUGAAAGCGGGGGACCGUAAGGCCUCGCGCGAUUGGAGCGGCCGAUGUCAGAUGAGGUAGUUGGUGGGGUAAAGGCUCACCAAGCCAACGAUCUGUAGCUGGUCUGAGAGGACGACCAGCCACACUGGGACUGAGACACGGCCCAGACUCCUACGGGAGGCAGCAGUGGGGAAUUUUGGACAAUGGGCGCAAGCCUGAUCCAGCAAUGCCGCGUGCAGGAAGAAGGCCUUCGGGUUGUAAACUGCUUUUGUACGGAACGAAACGGUCUGGGUUAAUACCUCGGGCUAAUGACGGUACCGUAAGAAUAAGCACCGGCUAACUACGUGCCAGCAGCCGCCGUAAGAC
rnacentral:rRNA from 1 species